CCUCAGAAAGCCAUGCAUGAUUAGUUUCUAAUCAUAAAUUAAAUUCAGAAACUCUAGUUUGUAUCUAAUUUUCAGUCAUCAGUGG